rnacentral:rRNA from 1 species
CCUACGGGCGGCAGCAGUGAGGAAUAUUGGUCAAUGGGCGCGAGCCUGAACCAGCCAAGUAGCGUGAAGGAUGAAUGCCCUACGGGUUGUAAACUUCUUUUAUAAAGGAAUAAAGUGAGGCGCGUGUGCCUUUUUGUAUGUACUUUAUGAAUAAGGCUCGGCUAACUCCGUGCCAGCAGCCGCGGUAAUACGGAGGAUCCGAGCGUUAUCCGGAUUUGUUGGGUGUAAAGGGAGCGUAGAUGGGUUGUUAAGUCAGUUGUGAAAGUUUGCGGCUCAACCGGAAAAUUGCAAUUGAUACUGGCAGUCUUGAGUACAGUUGAGGUAGGCGGAAUUCGUGGUGUAGCGGUGAAAUGCUUAGAUAUCACGAAGAACUCCGAUGGCGAAGGCAGCUUACUAAACUGCCACUGACAUUGAUGCUCGAAAGUGUGGGUAGCAAACAGGAUUAGAUACCCCAGUAGUC